rnacentral:rRNA from 1 species
UAGUCUCGCACAGAUGCAUAUCAAUAAGCGGAGGAAAAGAAACUAACAAGGAUUCCCCUAGUAACGGCGAGUGAAGCGGGAAGAGCUCAAAUUUGAAAUCUUAAAGGGUUUCCCUUUACGAAUUGUAGUUUAAAGAAGUGUUUUCUGUUGAGGUUUUGGUAAAAGUUCUUUGGAAUAGGACAUCAUAGAGGGUGAGAAUCCCGUAUUUGACCUUUAGCUUUCAACUUUGUGAUACACUUUCAAAGAGUCAGGAUUGUUUGAGGAAUGCAGUCCAAAAUGGGUGGUAAAUUUCAUCUAAAGCUAAAUAGUGGCGAGAGACCGAUAGCGAACAAGUACCGUGAGGGAAAGAUGAAAAGAACUUUGAAAAGAGAGUUAAACAGUACGUGAAAUUGUCAAAAGGGAAGCGUUUGACACCAGUGUUGUUUUUCUGAAAAUCAAUUAAAGAACUGUUUAUGCUAAGCUGUUUAGACUUUAUCAGCUAACUGUUUAGUUUUGAGCUUUUCUUUAAUGCACUUUUCAGUUAACAAGUCAACAUCAAUUUCUUUUGCUGUAAAAAAGCUUGAGGAAGGUGGCUUGAGAUUCGUCUUAAGUGUUUAUAGCCUCCUGCCUAUGCAGUCGGAGAGAUUGAGGUCUGCAGCGUAGAUCCUUCGGGGCUAAAUGCAUUUGUGCUAAGUUAUAGCAUUUUAUAGACAACUUGUUGACUAUGAUUUGUCUUGUAGCUUACUCGCUUAUGUUAUUUUACCUACGCUUAGGAUGUUGAAGACUCUACAGAGAUA